rnacentral:rRNA from 1 species
UACAGAGGGUGCGAGCGUUGUCCGGAAUCACUGGGCGUAAAGGGCGCGUAGGCGGCCUGAUAAGUCAGACGUGAAAUCCCUCGGCUUAACCGGGGAACUGCGUCUGAUACUGGAUGGCUUGAGUUCGGGAGAGGGAUGCGGAAUUCCAGGUGUAGCGGUGAAAUGCGUAGAUAUCUGGAGGAACACCGGUGGCGAAGGCGGCAUCCUGGACCGACACUGACACUGAGGAGCGAAAGCCAGGGGAGCAAACGGG